rnacentral:lncRNA from 1 species
UUUAUUAGUUUUUAUCAAUUUAAUAUUUUAUGUCCCAACAAUAUAAACAAUAUAACAUACAUCUAUAAUCUAUAAUCUAUAUAACUCUAUAUUAAUUCACAAAAAGAAUCAAUUCACAAAAAGAAUCCAUGUGGCAGCCCCACCUUCAAGGUUGGGUGUGGACUCCAUCUUCAAGUUUACUUUUUCCGGCCUCUCAUCUUCCUCUAACCGUUUCUUUUCCCUAUGUGACAAUUUAUUUUUUCCAUAUGACCAUUUCUCUUUCCCAUGCGACCGUUUUUCUUCCCCAUACGUUGUGAUUCUUCUUCUACUUUUUUCAUUGCCAUUUUCUUUAUUAUCUUGCUUUUUUCAGUAUAGAUUCACCAAAAG